GUCAAGUUGGAAAUUUUAUUUUAAAAUUCAUGGUGCAAUGGCAUUAUAAUAAACCUUAUUUUUCCUUCUGCAGUCUGUUUCUGGAUGCUGGCAGUCAUUCAGAAACAUUUGCUGAGCACCUCGUACCUGCUGAAUGAACCCACGUGAAGGGGAGCCAGGAGUGCGGAUCAUUAAAAAGCCUGUACUUUCUCAGUCCCCAUUUGACACCACAGAGAGAAAAUGCAUGCUCCUGAUUUGGGUAGAUCUAGAAUGUUCUUAUGAAUAUGUCUUUGCCCGGCACAGUGACUCACUGGCGUCCCUUUCAGGACUUUCUCCCGCCUGAUAACAUCUAAAUGACUCAUGCCUACACCACCUGGAGAGCUCAGGGAAGGCACGGUUUGUUCAGGCCACCCUCACUCCAAGGGCCAGCCCUUUUUUGGAAUAGAAACUAAAAGUUGGUAGCUUCCAUUUGUAGUUCCAUCUAACAGAAGAGCCGACCCACUCACAUUAGCUGGCUCACGACUAAGGCAACCAAUGCCUCCCAGAACAUAGACUCAACUGGCAACCCCGGCACUGAAGGUCAAGGUGAGUCAAAGACACUCAUGCAGAAGGGUGGAUGCUCUUCCAAGUGUGACUGGCUGGCCUGCACGGCUCACUGCCUCCCCUCCUCCCGUCAAGAUGCAGCUUCAGUUUAAACCACCUUCGUUCCAUUCAUCAAAGAGGAAUAUUUACUGUUAUUGUAAUGACUCUUCUCACAGUACACAAGGCUACACCUGAAACACACAGGCCUUUCAGAAAGCACAAAGGAGCAUUGUGCAAGCCCCUGCCCAGUGAGAUGGAUGGGGGCGUAGACACGCCAGUUAACAGCCGGGCUUUGCAGGCCAGCAAGACUUAUCUGUGGCCGCACCAUGGCCACUGAGCUUGUACCUUUCUUCUUUUAAAAAUUGCUCCUUCAUUAUAAGCAGAGUUAAAUACCUGCACAUGUGAUUUGUGUUGAAAUAAUAAAGCAACAAACACACAUCAAGCUGAGGAGAGAAUCUUGGCUAAGGUAGGAAGUCGUGGGUCUGGUCUCAGUCUGUGCUGCUGACCAACUGUAAGAACUCAGAACUCACUGUCCACUCAGGACCACAGUGUCUCAUCUGAAAGGACGAGGAGACUGGAACACACCAGAGCCAUGGUUCUCAAUGUGUGGUCCAGAGGCCCUCGGGGGUCCCUGAGCCUCUUUCUGGGGAUCUGUGAGGUCAAAACUACUUUCACAAGUAUGGUUUGCCUUUUUCACUCUCACUCUCUCAUGCUUGAACAAUGGAAUCUUCUAAAGGCUUCCUGACACGUGAUGCUACAAUGGAUGGAAUCCAGAGGUGGAUAGGAGAAGCCAGCUGCCUUCUAUUAAACCAGAAAUGAAGAACAUUUGCAGAAAUGUACAACAAUGCCAUGCUUCCCAUUAAUUAUUUUGUUCUUGCUUUAGAAUAUGUCACUUUUCAUUGAAAAAUGUUACUCAUGAUUUUAUGUAAAAG
rnacentral:lncRNA from 1 species